rnacentral:rRNA from 1 species
GAGGAAUAUUGGUCAAUGGGCGAGAGCCUGAACCAGCCAAGUAGCGUGCAGGAAGACGGCCCUAUGGGUUGUAAACUGCUUUUAUGUGGGGAUAAAGUGAGCUACGUGUAGUUUAUUGCAGGUACCACAUGAAUAAGGACCGGCUAAUUCCGUGCCAGCAGCCGCGGUAAUACGGAAGGUCCGGGCGUUAUCCGGAUUUAUUGGGUUUAAAGGGAGCGUAGGCUGGAGAUUAAGUGUGUUGUGAAAUGUAGACGCUCAACGUCUGAAUUGCAGCGCAUACUGGUUUCCUUGAGUACGCACAACGUUGGCGGAAUUCGUCGUGUAGCGGUGAAAUGCUUAGAUAUGACGAAGAACUCCGAUUGCGAAGGCAGCUGACGGGAGCGCAACUGACGCUUAAGCUCGAAGGUGCGGGUAUCAAACAGGAUUAGAUACCCUGGUAGUCCGCACAGUAAACGAUGGAUGCCCGCUGUUGGUACCUGGUAUCAGCGGCUAAGCGAAAGCAUUAAGCAUCCCACCUGGGGAGUACGCCGGCAACGGUG